UGGUUUGUGUUUUGGCUACUA
rnacentral:piRNA from 1 species